ensembl:snRNA U6 U6 spliceosomal RNA
GUGUUUGCUUUGGCAGCACACAUACUAAAAUUGGAAUGAUACAGAGAUUAUCAUGGCCCCUAUGCAAGAAGGACACACAAAUUCAUAAAGUGUUCUAUAUUUUA